AAACCCCGCCCCCCCCACCUUGUGAUCCUCCUGCCUCGGCCUCCCAAAGUGCUGAGAUUACAGGCAUUAGCCAACGCGCCUGGCGAGUUUUUAAUUAUGCAAGGUUUAUUAUAAGAAAGAAUGAUCAGUUACUGUAUUUUCUGCCUUCACAGAAGAUUAAAGAAGAAAUAGAUUUUAAUUGCAGCAAGAGCAUUUGUUAAUACCUAAGAAUGGCAUCUUGAUUUAUGAGUGAUUAAAUUUUGAGAUGUAGUACCAAAGGUGGUUGUACACUUGCUGCCUCAAGAACGCUCCAAAAAGUUUUUGAGACAUCUGUGGGGAAAACAAAGUGCCCUGCCCUCAAGAGAGCCCACAUUCUAACAGAGCAUAUCGACAUUUUUAAAAGUGAUUUGGCCUGACACCAUCUUGCCAUGUUGCUGCCUGAAGGUUUUAAUUCUGGCCUGCUUCUUACGCAUCAGGUCAGCCAGUAUAUCUUUCAAAUUCAUGGAGGAAGCAAUGGCAUGCUGGACAGCAAGAAUACAAAAAGAUGCAUUCUUCAUUCCCAAGAGCAAGGUGGCAACGGUGAGUAAUGACGUUGCAGGUGAACUGCAGGAUAUGGUGGAGACAGGAGGUAAAGGAGCUGCCUCAGGAAUAGGAACCACCACCACCUCUCCAGACGUCAUACCAAUGAAGUGGACAAGGUUGAA